rnacentral:rRNA from 1 species
CACGUAGGGCGCGAGCGUUGUCCGGAAUUAUUGGGCGUAAAGAGCUCGUAGGCGGCUUGUUGCGUCAGCUGUGAAAACCCGCAGCUCAACUGCGGGCUUGCAGCUGAUACGGGCAGGCUUGAGUUCGGUAGGGGAGACUGGAAUUCCUGGUGUAGCGGUGAAAUGCGCAGAUAUCAGGAGGAACACCGGUGGCGAAGGCGGGUCUCUGGGCCGAUACUGACGCUGAGGAGCGAAAGCGUGGGGAGCGAACAGG